rnacentral:rRNA from 1 species
UGGGGAAUAUUGCGCAAUGGGCGAAAGCCUGACGCAGCGACGCCGCGUGAGGGAAGAAGGCCUUCGGGUCGUAAACCUCUGUCAGGAGGGAAGAAACCAUGGGAGUCGAAUCAGGCUCUCGUGCGACGUACUCCGAGA